CCCUUAGAUGUUCUGGGCCGCACGCGCGCUACACUGAAGGGAUCAGCGUGUUUUCCCUUUCCGAGAGGAACGGGUAACCCGCUGAACCCCCUUCGUGGUAGGGAUCGGAGCUUGCAAUUGUUCUCCGUGAACCAGGAAUUCCCAGUAAGCGCAAGUCAUAAGCUUGCGUUGAUUACGUCCCUGCCCUUUGUACACACCGCCCGUCGCUACUACCGAUUGAACGUUUUAGUGAGGUAUUUGGACUGGGCCUUGGGAGGUUUCGGCCUCCCUUGUUGCUCGGAAAGACUCCCAAACUUGAGCGUUGAGAGGAAGUAAAAGGCGUAACA
rnacentral:rRNA from 1 species